rnacentral:rRNA from 1 species
GACGAACGCUGGCGGCGUGCCUAAUACAUGCAAGUUGAGCGCUGAAGGUUGGUACUUGUACCAACUGGAUGAGCAGCGCACGGGUGAGUAACGCGUGGGGAAUCUGCCUUUGAGCGGGGGACAACAUUUGGAAACGAAUGCUAAUACCGCAUAAAAACUUUAAACACAAGUUUUAAGUUUGAAAGAUGCAAUUGCAUCACUCAAAGAUGAUCCCGCGUUGUAUUAGCUAGUUGGUGAGGUAAAGGCUCACCAAGGCGAUGAUACAUAGCCGACCUGAGAGGGUGAUCGGCCACAGUGGGACUGAGACACGGCCCAAACUCCUACGGGAGGCAGCAGUAGGGAAUCUUCGGCAAUGGACGAAAGUCUGACCGAGCAACGCCGCGUGAGUGAAGAAGGUUUUCGGAUCGUAAAAAUCUGUUGGUAGAGAAGAACGUUGGUGAGAGUGGAAAGCUCAUCAAGUGACGGUAACUACCCAGAAAGGGACGGCUAACUACGUG